GUCAGGGACUCAGGGCUGAAGCCACGCUCGCUUGUAAGAGCAAUACUCAAAACAAGCUGUUCUGACCAGUCUAAGUAAAUUUACUCCGUUAUUUAGGUCACGACACCGGAGAAUGCGACGCUAGUUUUCCGCUCUGUCGGUAGUAAUUAAACAGUUCUAAAGUCACUGGAACAGUGUUGCUACCCUAACAAGCCUACAUAACAUUGACGAAGCGAACGUUAC
rfam:[Oscillatoria] sp. PCC 6506, WGS project CACA01000000 data, contig: Contig94